UACGUAGGGGGCUAGCGUUGUCCGGAAUCAUUGGGCGUAAAGCGCGUGUAGGCGGUCCGGUAAGUCCGCUGUGAAAGUCGAGGGCUCAACCCUCGAAUGCCGGUGGAUACUGUCGGGCUUGAGUACGGGAGAGGCGAGUGGAAUUCCUGGUGUAGCGGUGAAAUGCGCAGAUAUCAGGAGGAACACCGAUUGCGAAGGCAGCUCGCUGGAACGGAACUGACGCUGAGGCGCGAAAGCGUGGGGAGCGAACAGG
rnacentral:rRNA from 1 species